UACGAAGGGGGCAAGCGUUGUUCGGAAUUAUUGGGCGUAAAGGGCGCGUAGGCGGUUUGACAAGUCUGAUGUGAAAUCUAUGGGCUCAACCCAUAGCCUGCAUUAGAAACUGUCGGGCUUGAGUAUGGGAGAGGUGAGUGGAAUUUCCGGUGUAGCGGUGAAAUGCGUAGAUAUCGGAAGGAACACCUGUGGCGAAAGCGGCUCACUGGACCAUAACUGACGCUGAGGCGCGAAAGCUAGGGGAGCAAACAGG
rnacentral:rRNA from 1 species